ACUCCUACGGGAGGCAGCAGUGGGGAAUAUUGCACAAUGGGCGCAAGCCUGAUGCAGCCAUGCCGCGUGUGUGAAGAAGGCCUUCGGGUUGUAAAGCACUUUCAGUCAGGAGGAAAGGUUAGUAGUUAAUACCUGCUAGNUGNGNCGUUNCUGACANAAGAAGCACCGGNUAACUCCGUGCCNGCAGCCGCGNUAAU
rnacentral:rRNA from 1 species